UACGUAGGGCGCAAGCGUUGUCCGGAAUUAUUGGGCGUAAAGAGCUCGUAGGCGGCUUGUCACGUCGGGUGUGAAGGACCGGGGCUUAACCCCGGUUCUGCAUUCGAUACGGGCUGGCUAGAGUGUGGUAGGGGAGAUCGGAAUUCCUGGUGUAGCGGUGAAAUGCGCAGAUAUCAGGAGGAACACCAGGCGGCGAAGGCGGACG
rnacentral:rRNA from 1 species